rnacentral:rRNA from 1 species
UCAUAGGCAGGCAAGAGACAACCUGGCGAACUGAAACAUCUUAGUAGCCAGAGGAAAAGAAAGCAAAAGCGAUUCCCUAAGUAGUGGCGAGCGAAAUGGGAACAAGCCUAAACCGCGUAAGCGGGGUUGUGGGGAGAACUAUACGAGCGAAGAGUUACUAGGCGAAGCAGCUGAAUCCUGCACCAUAGAUGGUGAUAGUCCAGUACCCAAAAGUUUCUUUAGCUUAUGUUCUAACCCGAGUAGCAUGGGGCACGUGGAACCCCGUGUGAAUCUGCGAGGACCACCUCGUAAGGCUAAAUACUCCUGGAUGACCGAUAGUGAAGUAGUACCGUGAGGGAAAGGUGAAAAGAACCCCCAUCGGGGAGUGAAAUAGAACAUGAAACCGUAAGCCUCCAAGCAGUGGGAGGAGAAUGGAAUCUCUGACCGCGUGCCUGUUGAAGAAUGAGCCGGCGACUUAUAGGCAGUGGCCUGGUUAAGGUUUUCCGUAGCCGUAGCGAAAGCGAGUCUUUCUAGGGCGAAUGUCACUGUUUAUGGACCCGAACCCGGGUGAUCUAACCAUGGCCAGGGUGAAGCUUGGGUGAAGCCAAGUGGAGGUCCGAACCGACUGAUGUUGAAAAAUCAGCGGAUGAGCUGUGGUUAGGGGUGAAAUGCCAAUCGAACUCGGAGCUAGCUGGUUCUCCCCGAAAUGCGUUGAGGCGCAGCGGUUGACUAGACUGCCUAGGGGUAAAGCACUGUUUCGGUGCGGGCUGCGAAAGCGGUACCAAAUCGAGGCAAACUCUGAAUACUAGGCAAGUACAUUGGUCAGCCAGUGAGACGGUGGGGGAUAAGCUUCAUCGUCAAGAGGGAAACAGCCCAGAUCACCAGCUAAGGCCCCUAAAUGACCGCUCAGUGGUAAAGGAGGUGAGAGUGCAAAGACAGCCAGGAGGUUUGCCUAGAAGCAGCCACCCUUGAAAGAGUGCGUAAUAGCUCACUGAUCGAGCGCUCUUGCGCCGAAGAUGAACGGGACUAAGCGGUCUGCCGAAGCUGUGAGAUGUCUAUAGAAGACAUCGGUAGGGGAGCGUUCUGCAUUAGGGCGAAGCAUCAGUGAAAACAGGUGUGGACGAAGCAGAAGUGAGAAUGUCGGCUUGAGUAACGCAAACAUUGGUGAGAAUCCAAUGCCCCGAAAACCCAAGGGUUCCUCCGCAAGGCUCGUCCACGGAGGGUGAGUCAGGACCUAAGAUCAAGCCGAACGGCGCAGUCGAUGGACAACAGGUCAAGAUUCCUGUACUGCCCCUUGCUGGCAAUAAGAGGGACGGAGGAGGCUAGGCUAGCCGAAUAAUGGUCAUCGGUUCAAGGGCCCAAAACCUGAGUACUAGGCACCUACGGGGCCGAAGUAGCUGAUGCCACGCUCCCAAGAAAAGCUCUUACGCCGAUACAGGCAGAAAGACAACGUCUUCCUGCCAAGAAAAGCAAGGCAAGUGGGCACCUGUACCCGAAACCGACACAGGUGGGUAGGUUGAGAAUACCUAGGGGCGCGAGACAACUCUCUCUAAGGAACUCGGCAAGAUGGCCCCGUAACUUCGGGAGAAGGGGUGCCCCCUAUGGGGGGCCGCAGUGACCAGGCCCAGGCGACUGUUUACCAAAAACACAGGUCUCCGCAAAGUCGAAAGACGACGUAUGGGGGCUGACGCCUGCCCAGUGCCGGAAGGUUAAGGAAGUCGGUUACUCGAAUACGGGGAAGCUGGCGACCGAAGCCCCGGUGAACGGCGGCCGUAACUAUAACGGUCCUAAGGUAGCGAAAUUCCUUGUCGGGUAAGUUCCGACCCGCACGAAAGGCGUAACGAUCUGGGCACUGUCUCGGAGAGAGGCUCGGUGAAAUAGACUUGUCUGUGAAGAUGCGGACUACCUGCACCUGGACAGAAAGACCCUAUGAAGCUUUACUGUUCCCUGGGAUGGGGUUUGGGCCCUUCUUGCGCAGUCUAGGUGGGAGGCGAAGACGGUGUCCUUCCGGGGACACUCGAGCCGAAGAUGAGAGACCACCCUAGAAGGGCUAGGAUUCUAACCUUAUGUCUAGAAGAAGGCUAGGGGACAGUCCCAGGUAGACAGUUUCUAUGGGGCGUAGGCCUCCCAAAGGGUAACGGAGGCGUGCAAAGGUUUCCUCAGGCUGGACGGAAAUCAGCCUUCGAGUGCAAAGGCAGAAGGGAGCUUGACUGCGAGACCCACACGUCGAGCAG